UACGUAGGGGGCAAGCGUUGUCCGGAAUUAUUGGGCGUAAAGCGCGUGUAGGUGGCCAUGUAGGUCCGCUGUGAAAACUUGAGGCUCAACCUCAAGCUGUCGGUGGAAACCACAUGGCUAGAGUCCGGAAGAGGAGAGUGGAAUUCCUGGUGUAGCGGUGAAAUGCGCAGAUAUCAGGAAGAACACCAAUGGCGAAGGCAGCUCUCUGGGACGGUACUGACACUGAGACGCGAAAGCGUGGGGAGCGAACAGG
rnacentral:rRNA from 1 species